CAGACAGGUGCACCCCCUGCGCGAGCUCCGCGCCAGCAGGGCAUCCCCAAAGCAGACAAUACCUCGGGAGGGACGCAGUCGCUUUCGCUGCUCGGAUCGGUGGGGGGCUAUGCUGGUGACGAGGUGCAAAUCCCGCAUCAGUAUUCAAAUAUUGGAUUACUAUGGACCAAUCCGAGUUUUUCCCAAUAAAAUUCUUCAUUGUUACAAUAUGCAUGCGCUUACCUAUGCAACUAUAACGACAAAUUAAGGUCUAAUGUUCAGAAUCAACUCUUACCAGGUAAUACAAAUGCCUCAUAGUUACCCUUUUUAUCGUCAUAUCCUGAUUAAAUUGGUAAGAACUUACUCAACCAAUAGAGUAGUACAAGCAAAAAGAAGUAGAAAGGAUAGUAAGCUUAUGGAACCAAAGUCCUACUAACAACUACGAUACAAUGCAGCAACACUGCAUUUAUUUUUAAGGAUUAAAAGGCAUUUAUUAAAUCAGUAUUGCAAGGCAAUAGGAAGGAUAAGAAGCAUAUCAAACCACAGCAGACUAGCAGUAUAUAUGUAUAGAUGAAAAAAAUAUACCAACUGAUAAAGUACAAAGGGCACCUGACACAGUGCAGGAUGACCUUGAGCCUCUCUUCAAUUUAGAAGGGCAUCAGUAGCAAGAAAAUCGAUCCUUCAACCAUCAUACUUUCCUCCUCCAUAACAUGUUAUAAGAGUUAACACGAUGUCACUAACACAUUUGCAACAUGACAAGG
rnacentral:lncRNA from 1 species